CCUAACAGUUUUAGUUUGUGGCAUUUAAAGAAAAUCGUGUUAGUUUCAUAAAUGACUGUUUUUGACUGAAAGGAUGAAUUGACUGAUAAAGCUGAGGAUUGUAGCUAAUCUAAUGAGGAGAAACCCUUGAUUAUUCAAAUAAAGAAACUCAGAUAGCUUUCCCGAGGUUAUUAAAGUGGGCGAGCUCAAACUUAAACCCAGCUGAGACUCCAGAGCUGAGGAGAUUGACGUCCACCUCAUUAAUGUCUGGAGAAGAAAGGCAGACUGAUGUUUUCAGCUACAUUCCCACCUAAUACAGGGGGUCUUUACAAGCUCCUGCAAUGGCCUCCAACGUUCUGCUUUAAAGGACCCCGGCUGCCUCUUGGGCCACUGGUCACUGCUCCCCAGGCACAGUGACCACCAAGUGCUUCUUGCCACAGGGCCUUUCCAUUUGCUGUCUGGAUCAGCUGUUCUUCAGACUUCUCAAGUGGCUUAGCUCAUGUCACCCCAGGAGGCACUUCUGACCCUUUAUCUAAAGUAGGACCCCUCCAGCCUGGUCAGUUACUGUCUGUCAUUUCCCCCUGUUAUUGUCUUCAGAGCAUGAACACAGUCUGAAAUCAUCUUGUUUAUUUGCUUGUUAACGGUCUGUUCCCCUUCACCUCCUCUCCACCAUUACGAGCUCCUGGACUCAGGGGCCUUUCCUGUGUUUUUUCAGAGCUGUGGAGUGCAAGGUAGACACUCAAUAAAUCCUUGAUAAAUAAAUAUGGAUGGGAUGUUAGCAGUGAUCAAAAGAAGUAACCAAACUCCUUCACAUCUGAUUCUGCUGGAAUUGUACGGACACACCUAUAGGCUGCAGGUGUGUGAGGCUGCACAUCGUGUGACAACUCUUCCCAAUGACAAUGACCUCAUGGAGCUGGCAAAGUAACUUCAUGCUGAGGAGCCUCCUGUCAGUCUUUUCAAACAGCUGCCAACUACUUGUCUGCUCACAGCAGCCAACGGACCUUCAUCAUCUUUUAUCAUUCCAGAAGCACCACGGCACAAAGCUCAGUUUCUGCCCUUCCACUUAUUCUACCUAUUUUUCUGUUCUCAGUCCCUAGUUGUUUCCUUUUAAAACUUGUCUUCAUCAGGAGUGACUUGAAUUUUGCACGUGCUGAUCCUUAAAUUCUGUGUUUAAGGUGCUGACAAGUAUACUGAAGUAAAUUGUACAGAUGUGGAAUCUUGUGCAUAUGAAACACACAGUUGGAAAUGACUACUCUAAUUUCAGUAUCCAACACAGAUAAAUAUUUGGGUCAAUAAUCCAAUUUUUUUCAAUAAUCCAAUUUUUGAAAGUCUACAUUAUUUAGUGUAAUGUGCAAGAAAAAGUGAAAAAGAAAGGAUGAGUAAUAAAGUUUAAAUGUACCACUUCAUAAAUUUAUUAGCCAUGUAUAGGUUGUAUUUCUGUGUACAAUAGUUAGACAUUUUUAUAAUUUGCAUUAACCAAGCCAGAUUCUCCCCAAUCUCAAAGUUUAAGUUUAGUAAACUUGAAAAAGCCAGCAGGAAUUAAGCCCUGAAGGAAUUCAAAUGACUGUCUUAUUGUAGUCCUGAUUUCAGCCAUUUCAGAGCACUAUGCUUUUAGUCAGAAUGGGCUCUAGAAAUCAAACUGUAUAUUCGCCCAAAUAAGAUACAGGAUUCGAAAUUUUUAUUCUGGCUACUGGGAGGAAGGGCAGGCAAACAUCAUAGCAGGAGAAAGCAGAAUGUUAUUUUUACCUUAUACUGAAACCGGGCUGUGAAGACUGAAAGAAUCAGAAAGUCCUAGGAUGCUCGGCCUAGAGUAUAUGUCUAUAAAAUGAGUUUAACUCAAUCCUUUUGCAACUGGUUGAGAGGUCUUAGUAUUUUCUCCCAAUUCAAAGCUGUAAUUUUUUCACUCCCAUAGUGAAUGGAAAGGAAAGCAAAGAGCACAUUGUCUAAGUGUCCAUCAGUGUUAGAAUAAGAAAUCCACAAUUCCACGUUUGGAACUCUCCUUCCUGAUAAAGUGCAUAUUUCAGAUUUCUGAUUCUAGCCCAUUUUUUUUAAAAAACCGGUUUUACGUAUUGUAGGAGGUGGCUUACAAGUACUUCGAUUUUUGUCUCCACCGCAAUACACAACGUUAAAACCAAGUUGUUGGGUUUUUAUUGGUUUAUUAUGUCUUUCAGCAUUUUUUUCUUCAAAAUGUCAUCGUUCUUUUUGUCUUGACAGUUAAAAAAACCCUUUCUGGAUCAUUUAAAAAAUUACGUUGUAAUAACGAAACUAUC